UACGAAGGGGGCUAGCGUUGCUCGGAAUUACUGGGCGUAAAGGGAGCGUAGGCGGACAUUUAAGUCAGGGGUGAAAUCCCGGGGCUCAACCUCGGAAUUGCCUUUGAUACUGGGUGUCUUGAGUAUGAGAGAGGUAUGUGGAACUCCGAGUGUAGGGGUGUAAUUCGUAGAUAUUCGGAAGAACACCAGUGGCGAAGGCGACAUACUGGCUCAUUACUGACGCUGAGGCUCGAAAGCGUGGGGAGCAAACAGG
rnacentral:rRNA from 1 species